GCCCGCUCAGAAACUCAAAUGAAGUUGACGGGGGCCCGCACAAGCGGUGGAGUAUGUGGUUUAAUUCGAUGCAACGCGAAGAACCUUACCUGGUCUUGACAUCCCGGAGACCCUUAGGAACUAGGGGUGCUUCCAUCUGGAAGAAUCUGGAGACAGGUGCUGCAUGGCUGUCGUCAGCUCGUGUCGUGAGAUGUUGGGUUAAGUCCCGCAACGAGCGCAACCCUUGCCUUUAGUUGCCAGCAGUUCGGCUGGGCACUCUAAAGGGACUGCCGGUGUUAAACCGGAGGAAGGUGGGGAUGACGUCAAGUCCUCAUGGCCUUUAUGACCAGGGCUACACACGUACUACAAUGGCCGAUACAAAGGGCAGCGACACUGCGAGGUGAAGCCAAUCCCGUAAAAUCGGUCUCAGUCCGGAUUGGAGUCUGCAACUCGACUCCAUGAAGUUGGAAUCGCUAGUAAUCGUGGAUCAGCAUGCCACGGUGAAUACGUUCCCGGGCCUU
rnacentral:rRNA from 1 species